rnacentral:rRNA from 1 species
GUGGGGAAUAUUGGACAAUGGGCGAAAGCCUGAUCCAGCCAUGCCGCGUGUGUGAAGAAGGUCUUCGGAUUGUAAAGCACUUUAAGUUGGGAGGAAGGGCAGUAAGUUAAUACCUUGCUGUUUUGACGUUACCAACAGAAUAAGCACCGGCUAACUUCGUGCCAGCAGCCGCGGUAAUACGAAGGGUGCAAGCGUUAAUCGGAAUUACUGGGCGUAAAGCGCGCGUAGGUGGUUUGGUAAGAUGGAUGUGAAAUCCCCGGGCUCAACCUGGGAACUGCAUCCAUAACUGCCUGACUAGAGUACGGUAGAGGGUGGUGGAAUUUCCGGUGUAGCGGUGAAAUGCGUAGAUAUAGGAAGGAACACCAGUGGCGAAGGCGACCACCUGGACUGAUACUGACACUGAGGUGCGAAAGCGUGGGGAGCAAACAGGAUUAGAUACCCUAGUAGUCC